rnacentral:rRNA from 1 species
UACGUAGGGUGCAAGCGUUGUCCGGAAUUAUUGGGCGUAAAGAGCUUGUAGGCGGUUUUGUCGCGUCUGCUGUGAAAUUUCGGGGCUCAACCCCGAACUUGCAGUGGGUACGGGCAGACUAGAGUGUGGUAGGGGAGACUGGAAUUCCUGGUGUAGCGGUGAAAUGCGCAGAUAUCAGGAAGAACACCCGUGGCUAAGGCGGUUCUCUAGUACGGUACUGACGCUGAGACGCGAAAGCGUGGGGAGCGAACAGG